rnacentral:lncRNA from 1 species
AUGAAAAAUGUGGUAAGAGUACCAAAGGUAUGAAAAAUGUUGUAAGAGUAACAUUUCUAGUAUUCAAAAUAAAAAAUGUUGCCUUUAUCAUAUUUUUCAUACCAUAUUUGUAUCAUCCCUAAUAAAAAGGGACUCGCGGGGUGUUGGUGACCCUUACCUCUAUUAGAAAGAUGAUACAAAUGUAGUAUAAAAAAUAUGGUACUCUUUGAAUACAUAAUUAAGUAAAACAUUCACCACAAAUAUGUAUAGUAACUAAAUACAAAAAAAGGGGUAAUUCUCUUUUAUAGAAUUUAAUUUGGAAAAGGGUGAGUAGGCAUAAUAAGUAAAAAAAGUAAAAAAUCACCACUUGGUGUUAUGACAAACAAAAAUAUAUAAAAUGUUAAUGCAUCGUCAUUUUUUACCAUGGUCUAAAAUAUCCAUAAUAUCUCGAUAUUUCCAUCGAAAUUUCCGUGUUUUUGGACUACCGAUAUUUUUUUGGACUACUGUUAUUUCCGAUAUCAUCGAUAUUUUAGACCUUGCUAAGUCACUCAUGUAUCUUACCAUGCAAUGUAUAAAGUGUAAAAUAUUGUAUUAAUUCAUUAUAUAUAAAUGAUUAUGGUGUGUUUAAACUACUUUCAUUAAUUACUACAUAUUUUCUACACUCACAAUGUUUGCUAGCUCGCUAUAUAAUCAACUUAAAUCAGUUAUAUCUAUCAUGCAAUGCAUUUCCUUCCAAUUUUUUGUAAUAAACUAAUAGAUAAUUGACUAAAUAAACAUUCUGCAAAGUUUCAAUAAAAAUUUCCAAGUUUUUCUUACAAUUUCCGUGGUUUUUAUUCAAUUUUUAUCGAUAUC